GAGUUUGAUCGUGGCUCAGGAUGAACGCUGGCGGCGUGCUUAACACAUGCAAGUCAAACGAAGCGCCUUAUUUGAUUUUCUUCGGAACUGAAGAUUUGGUGACUGAGUGGCGGACGGGUGAGUAACGCGUGGGUAACCUGCCCUGUACAGGGGGAUAACAAUCAGAAAUGACUGCUAAUACCGCAUAAGACCACAGCACCGCAUGGUGCAGGGGUAAAAACUCCGGUGGUACAGGAUGGACCCGCGUCUGAUUAGCUGGUUGGUGAGGUAACGGCUCACCAAGGCGACGAUCAGUAGCCGGCUUGAGAGAGUGAACGGCCACAUUGGGACUGAGACACGGCCCAAACUCCUACGGGAGGCAGCAGUGGGGAAUAUUGCACAAUGGGGGAACCCUGAUGCAGCAACG
rnacentral:rRNA from 1 species